UACGGAGGAUCCAAGCGUUAUCCGGAUUCAUUGGGUUUAAAGGGUGCGUAGGCGGACUGAUAAGUCAGCGGUGAAAUCCCUCGGCUUAACCGAGGAACUGCCUUCCAGACUGCUUUGCUUGAGGCCGGGAGAGGCGAGUGGAAUUCCCAGUGUAGCGGUGAAAUGCGUAGAUAUUGGGAGGAACACCAGUGGCGAAGGCGGCUCGCUGGACCGGUUCUGACGCUGAGGCGCGAAAGCGUGGGGAGCAAACGGG
rnacentral:rRNA from 1 species